rnacentral:rRNA from 1 species
UACAGAGGUCUCAAGCGUUGUUCGGAUUCAUUGGGCGUAAAGGGUGCGUAGGCGGCUCGGUACGUCGGGUGUGAAAUCUCGGAGCUUAACUCCGAAACUGCAUUCGAUACUGCCGUGCUUGAGGACUGGAGAGGAGACUGGAAUUUACGGUGUAGCGGUGAAAUGCGUAGAUAUCGUAAGGAAGACCAGUGGCGAAGGCGGGUCUCUGGACAGUUCCUGACGCUGAGGCACGAAGGUCAGGGGAGCAAACGGG